rnacentral:rRNA from 1 species
UACGUAGGGAGCAAGCGUUGUUCGGAUUUACUGGGCGUAAAGGGCGCGUAGGCGGCGCGGUAAGUCACUUGUGAAAUCUCUGAGCUUAACUCAGAACGGCCAAGUGAUACUGCAGUGCUAGAGUGCAGAAAGGGCAAUCGGAAUUCUUGGUGUAGCGGUGAAAUGCGUAGAUAUCUGGAGGAAUACCGGUGGCGAAGGCGGCAUCCUGGACCGAGAUUGACGCUGAGGAGCGAAAGCUAGGGGAGCAAACGGG